AUUGAACGCUGGCGGCAGGCCUAACACAUGCAAGUCGAACGGUAGCACAGAGGAGCUUGCUCCUUGGGUGACGAGUGGCGGACGGGUGAGUAAUGUCUGGGAAACUGCCCGAUGGAGGGGGAUAACUACUGGAAACGGUAGCUAAUACCGCAUAACGUCGCAAGACCAAAGAGGGGGACCUUCGGGCCUCUUGCCAUCGGAUGUGCCCAGAUGGGAUUAGCUAGUAGGUGGGGUAACGGCUCACCUAGGCGACGAUCCCUAGCUGGUCUGAGAGGAUGACCAGCCACACUGGAACUGAGACACGGUCCAGACUCCUACGGGAGGCAGCAGUGGGGAAUAUUGCACAAUGGGCGCAAGCCUGAUGCAGCCAUGCCGCGUGUAUGAAGAAGGCCUUCGGGUUGUAAAGUACUUUCAGCGAGGAGGAAGGCGUUGUGGUUAAUAACCGCAGCGAUUGACGUUACUCGCAGAAGAAGCACCGGCUAACUCCGUGCCAGCAGCCGCGGUAA
rnacentral:rRNA from 1 species